UAUGUAUACUUUCAUUUCACUCAAAUGGUUCACCAUAUGGAUAACAUCAUAGCUUUCAAUUGAAUUCUGUGUUAGAGAAAACAUCAAAUUCAUUAUAUACAUAACAUCAUAGCUUUCAAUUGAAUUCUGUGUUAGAGAAAACAUCAAAUAAUAGAUUGCCAAAUUGUGUUUGUAUCUCAUUCAUAUACGCAAAUUUCACCCAUUUUCCCAAUCAAAGGGAAAAAGGAAAAUAUUUACAAGAUGCCUAUAUUCUACAAAAUCUCAAUACUAAUCUAUGUUACUCUCUUGCAGUUGCACAUUUAUAGACCAUUCAAGCUACAAGUAAUAUGCAAGAAACACAUGUUCCGUGCAAGGAAUUGUGACACCGCCCAUUCGAUGAUCAUAUCUGAAUUCUUCUUUUAAUGAUGAUGUUUGGCUAUUGCUAAAUGAUGCCCGUCUUAUAGCUGCAGGUAAACGGAAACCCAUUUCAAAUGUUUUGAACAACAAACAAUCUAAAGCUCUCAAAAUUUAUGGGAAAAAAAAGGUAUCUAUCUUUUGAUGCUUGAGUAAGUAAGUGAUUUGUGAAUGUGAUGGAUGUGAAGGAAAGUUGUGUAUUUUUAUAGUCUUCAUUCGAGAGUUUCUUGAAAUCCUCUUCUCUGUGAAAUUAAUUAUUGUUAAAGAAUGGUGUCCAUGAGAUGAGAGAUCCACAUGCUAUUGUCUUUUAAUGUCUCUCCAUCACUUUCUCAAUAAAAGGAUUAACCACUUGGAAGUCAAUUUGCUACUCAUACUUUUGUAGACAUGUCACAUGUUCUCUUCAUAUCGAUAAUGCGCUUCAAUACCCGUAUAUAGCUACCCACCAAUAAUUCUCUUGUUAGCGUGUAUUAUAAUGGUUAGUUGGCUACAAAUCUUCAAUAUUAGGGAGGCUACAUUGAACACAUAUAGAGGGCUUGGUCAUUAGUCAUGCUGCUGACCAGAAGGUACAUAGCAAUUGAACAACAGUUCCAAAAAGAGAUAAGUAUAUGUUUGGAGUUUGGACCCACAACUACCAGUAACAAAAAUAUGCUAUUCUGAAUAUUCAAUUUCAAGUCAACAGUCCUAUAUAUCUGCAGUCUUCUGAAUAUGUCUAGCAGCAACUCCGCUGUCCAAUGAUUUGUUUUCUGCAUAUAAGAAUAAUUAGCCAGUAGAACCUUCUUAAUUCAUGAAAUUCUCUUAGGAAUAAUUAGCUUGUAGGAUAAGGCACGACGUUUUUUCCUACUCAAGUAUCAGGAGCCAUGAAUAAGUGCCAAACUAGGUUACUGCUGCUUUCAAGUAUCAGACCAUGUCAAGUUCUCCGUUUAAAACCGAUAAGAUAUACAAGGAAACAGCAGGCUAAUCAAGAGAUCAUUGCAUAGACUGGACGAGUUUCUAGCCUUUAGGAACUUUCAAAUUUCUAAAUGAGAUGAGAUUAUUUGAUACUUGAAAUUCAUGUUUUACUACUAUUCUUUUUGUAGAUUAUGGCUGUUAGUGGGAGACUUUUCAUAAUUUGAUGGGAUUGGCUUCUGUUUUAAAAUCUAACUAAUUGUGUGUCUAUGAUAUUAAUACAUGCUAUGUGCAGACUCUAUUUAGUCAUGCAGCAGACUCUGUUUAGUCAUGCAGUUCAGCCCCCGAAACAUGUGAGCUGAAACUUUUAUUGUCUAGUUAGUCUCUUCACUAAAAGUAUAUUUUUAAUUUAAGUGAAUACUCCAAUGCAAGCAGUUCAUGUCUUCAUGAUAAUCUUUUGAUUAGAAAAAUACAUAAUAAUAUACACUUUUAUGAAUGGUGGAGGAUGCUAGGAGCUUAAAGUAAAGGGUUGCCUCUAACUGAGUGCAUCUGCUGAUUGAGUACACAUGAAGGUCCUUGCGAUUUCCGUCUCUACCACCUUCGUUAAACAUCAAAGGAAAAAUGCAACAUACAAAAUUAUUGAUUAUAGCUGAACCCAGAGAACUGGCAGUGGGAGACUUUCCAAAAUUGGGUUAAGAAGUGGAUCUAUUGCACAUUGAAGCGAGAAGUAAUAUGCAAGAAAACAUCUUCCGUGCAAGAAAUUGUGAGGCCGCCCAUUGGAUGAUCAUAUCCAAACUCCUCCUCUGCUUGACUCAGUAAGUUUUGAAAUGAAGUUUGGUUCAAAUAUGACACGGGGAUAACAAACCGCUUCCUUUCCUCUCCGAUGUACACUGCAAGAUACCCCUUUGGCACAUUCAAUGCUUUUGAGGAUGUUUGGAUACUGCUAGGUGAUGACCGUCUAAUAGCUGCAGGUAAACGAAAACCCAUAUCAAAUGUUUUGAAGAAAAAACUGAAUUUCUCAGAUGUAAGAAAAAUGUAUCUGUGUUUGAUUGCUUGAGUGAUUUGUGAUGGUUUUGAGGAGGACACUAUAUUUAUAGUUUCCAAGAGUUUCUUGAAAUACCUUUGCUAGAGAAAUUAUUUAGUUAAUGAUGGGGGCCAUGAGAUGAGAGAUCACAUGGUGUUGUCUUAGACGCCUUUGUCAAAGAUCGACUAGUUCGAUAGAGUGCCAACCACUCCUUCUUAAUGAAAGGCUCAUAACUCAAUGCUUGUAUGAUGCCUACUCAUUUCUUUUCAGACAUGCAUCAAACAUGGCACAUGUUAUCUUCACAUUUGAUCACAUAAUGUUGAUAUCUUAAGUGAAGAAUUUUGAGAAAUAUCAUCCAUAAACUAAAAAACUAUUUAUGAAUUGUGAAUAUUUAUUGUUCUUGACUUAGUUCUUAGUUGGAAACUAUAGUUCUCAAGAGACCACAUGAUAGUGUCUAGAGGUCUUUGAGAAUGUAAUUACAUGUA